rnacentral:rRNA from 1 species
UCGCCAGACUCCUACGGGAGGCAGCAGUGGGGAAUAUUGCACAAUGGGGGAAACCCUGAUGCAGCGACGCCGCGUGAAGGAAGAAGUAUUUCGGUAUGUAAACUUCUAUCAGCAGGGAAGAAAAUGACGGUACCUGACUAAGAAGCCCCGGCUAACUACGUGCCAGCAGCCGCGGUAAUACGUAGGGGGCAAGCGUUAUCCGGAUUUACUGGGUGUAAAGGGGGCGCAGACGGCGAUGCAAGCCAGGAGUGAAAGCCCGGGGCCCAACCCCGGGACUGCUCUUGGAACUGCGUGGCUAGAGUGCAGGAGGGGCAGGCGGAAUUCCUGGUGUAGCGGUGAAAUGCGUAGAUAUCAGGAGGAACACCGGUGGCGAAGGCGGCCUGCUGGACUGCAACUGACGUUGAGGCCCGAAAGCGUGGGGAGCAAACAGGAUUAGAUACCCCAGUAAC